CCUACGGGUGGCAGCAGUGGGGAAUGUUGCGCAAUGAUCGUAAGAGUGACGCAGCGACGCCGCGUGAAUGGCGAAGGCCUUCGGGUCGUAAAGUUCUUUCGACAGGGAAGAAAAUGCCUAUAAGUAACUGUGUAUGUAUGGACGGUACCGGUAGAAGCAGCCCCGGCUAACUCCGUGCCAGCAGCCGCGGUAAUACGGAGGGGGCGAGCGUUGUUCGGAGUGACUGGGCGUAAAGAGCACGUAGGCGGUGUUGUAAGUCAUUAGUCAAAGACUAGAGCUCAACUUUAGUAAGGCUAGUGAUACUUUCAUACUAUAGUAUCAGAGAGGAUUGCCGACUUCCUGGUGUAGCGG
rnacentral:rRNA from 1 species